GGGUGAGUGAUCGUACCUGCCAGCUGGCUUAUGUCAUAAUUAACAAAGUUGCUACUAUGUCUGCAAAGUUUAAUUGAAAAAUUUGCCAGUGAUAUGACGACACUGUCACAGAUCACAAGGGACACAGGGCCGAUUUUAGCUGCUAGUGGAACGGGGAAGCUGUGUUUGCAAGAUGGGAAAUUGAGGACCUGUUCAGCCAAA
ensembl:misc_RNA